UACGGAGGGGGCAAGCGUUGUCCGGAUUUAUUGGGCGUAAAGAGCGUGUAGGCGGCCAGACAAGUCAGUUGUGAAAACUAGAGGCUUAACCUCUAGACGUCGAUGGAAACUGUUUAGCUAGAGUCCGGAAGAGGAGAAUGGAAUUCCUGGUGUAGCGGUGAAAUGCGCAGAUAUCAGGAGGAACACCGGUGGCGAAGGCGGUUCUCUGGGAAUGACCUGACGCUGAGGAGCGAAAGCGUGGGGAGCGAACAGG
rnacentral:rRNA from 1 species